rnacentral:misc_RNA from 1 species
AAAAAACAUGUCGGAAAAUGCUAGAUUUUGACUUGGAAGACAUAACAAAAGAUGAAAGCCUACCAAGUACCAAUAUCCACCACCCAGAAAAACAUCAACAAAAGAAAGAAACUUUCGAUUUGAACUUGAAUUCCCAAGACAUGGAGUUGUCAUUGGCUAUCAUGGAGGCUACUGCAAUAUCAGCUGGGCAGAAACAGAGGAAAG